AGGAAGCUCCUGAGUGCUGCCAAGAUCCUUGCUGAUGCCACCGCCAAGAUGGUGGAGGCGGCCAAGGGAGCAGCCGCCCACCCCGACAGUGAGGAGCAGCAGCAGCGACUACGUGAAGCGGCUGAGGGGCUCCGCAUGGCCACCAAUGCAGCUGCACAGAAUGCCAUCAAGAAGAAGUUGGUGCAGCGUCUGGAGCAUGCAGCCAAACAAGCUGCAGCCUCUGCUACACAGACCAUCGCUGCAGCACAGCAUGCAGCCUCUGCCCCCAAGGCCUCUGCAGGCCCCCAGCCACUACUGGUACAGAGCUGUAAGGCUGUGGCAGAGCAGAUUCCAUUGCUGGUGCAGGGUGUCCUGCCCAGUCCCACUGCAAGCCGUGUCCUCUCCCUGACUCCAAGUGCCUUCGCACCCUAGGGCCCCAAGUGCCUGUCCCCUCCAGAGUAUUAACGCUCCAAGAGUAUUAUUAACGCUGCCAUACCUCAGUUUUACCCUGCCAGGGCUCCAGCUGCUCCAACCUGCCAGCAGCUUCCAGCCAAUCCCCACAGCCACAGCAGCUCAACUCAUCCCUUUUUGAUACUCUAUCCCUGCCCCAGCUACCUGUGGAGCCUGAGGGUUACAAACCCAACAGGUCAAGCUCCAAUAAAGGUGACUCUAUGG
rnacentral:lncRNA from 1 species